GGGAUCUAAUUCAAUAUAGGAGAAGUGUUUUUGUGUAUUCCCUAAGCAGCAUAGUCAUCCUUUAAUACUUAUCAAUCUAUUUCAGAUACACAUAGGGCUAGUGUUUAGCUGAACGGGAACUAUUCUCAAUCAUGGUUGUGACAGCAGAGAAGGCCAUCAAAGGUGGAUUGCACGAAAAGCUAACAAUGACGGUGGCAGUGCCAUAUCUUUGGGGGGUUCCACCUGCUUCCGAAACACUCCGUCUUGCUGUGCGGAGUGGUGGAGGGAUUGUAGAGAAGGUUUAUUGGCAAUGGGAUUUUUUGUAAACAAAGAAUGGACCAAUGUCCAUUCUGUACAUAAACUAAAAGAAUUGUCUUAUGUAAAAAAAAAUCGAUUGUCGUUGUAUUCAUGCUCAAUGUGAGCUUCAUGUUCAUAUCUAAUUGAUUAUUUGAGACUGCCCUGUACCAUUGGCAGUGCCACGUUCCAAACCUUGUUUUCUAUAUCGGAGUCAAUGACAGUACCCAAGACGCUAAUGAUAAUCUUCUGAACCACUGGUUUUUCUAUUUA